rnacentral:rRNA from 12 species
AGUGCAAUUGCCCAAUAGCGUCUGAUCUCAGAAGCUAAGCAGGGCCAUGCCUGGUGAGUACUUGGAUGGGAGACCAACCUGGAAGACCGGGGGCGACUA